GACGAACGCUGGCGGCGUGCUUAACACAUGCAAGUCGUACGGUAAGGCCCUUUCGGGGGUACACGAGUGGCGAACGGGUGAGUAACACGUGAGUAACCUGCCCACAACUUUGGGAUAACGCUAGGAAACUGGUGCUAAUACUGGAUAUGUGCUCCUGCUGCAUGGUGGGGGUUGGAAAGCUCCGGCGGUUGUGGAUGGACUCGCGGCCUAUCAGCUUGUUGGUGGGGUAGUGGCCUACCAAGGCGGCGACGGGUAGCCGGCCUGAGAGGGUGACCGGCCACAUUGGGACUGAGAUACGGCCCAGACUCCUACGGGAGGCAGCAGUGGGGAAUAUUGCACAAUGGGCGCAAGCCUGAUGCAGCAACGCCGCGUGCGGAUGACGGCCUUCGGGUUGUAAACCGCUUUCAGCAGGGACGAAGCUUUUUGUGACGGUACCUGCAGAAGAAGCACCGGCUAACUACGUG
rnacentral:rRNA from 1 species